UAGGGAAUCUUCGGCAAUGGGGGGAACCCUGACCGAGCAACGCCGCGUGAGUGAAGAAGGUUUUCGGAUCGUAAAGCUCUGUUGUUAAGGAAGAACGAGUGUGAGAAUGGAAAGUUCAUACUGUGACGGUACUUAACCAGAAAGGGACGGCUAACUACGUGCCAGCAGCCGCGGUAAUACGUAGGUCCCGAGCGUUGUCCGGAUUUAUUGGGCGUAAAGCGAGCGCAGGCGGUCAAUUAAGUCUGAUGGGAAAGCCCCCGGCUCAACCGGGGAGGGUCAUUGGAAACUGGUUGACUUGAGUGCAGAAGAGGAGAGUGGAAUUCCAUGUGUAGCGGUGAAAUGCGUAGAUAUAUGGAGGAACACCGGUGGCGAAAGCGGCUCUCUGGUCUGUAACUGACGCUGAGGCUCGAAAGCGUGGGGAGCGAACAGG
rnacentral:rRNA from 1 species